AUUGAACGCUGGCGGCAUGCUUUACACAUGCAAGUCGAACGGUAACAGGCCGCAAGGUGCUGACGAGUGGCGAACGGGUGAGUAAUGCAUCGGAACGUGCCCAGUCGUGGGGGAUAACGCAGCGAAAGCUGCGCUAAUACCGCAUACGAUCUCUGGAUGAAAGCGGGGGACCGAAAGGCCUCGCGCGAUUGGAGCGGCCGAUGUCAGAUUAGGUAGUUGGUGGGGUAAAGGCCCACCAAGCCAACGAUCUGUAGCUGGUCUGAGAGGACGACCAGGCACACUGGGACUGAGAAGCGGCCCAGACUCCUACGGGAGGCAGCAGUGGGGAAUUUUGGACAAUGGGCGCAAGCCUGAUCCAGCAAUGCCGCGUGCAGGAAGAAGGCCUUCGGGUUGUAAACUGCUUUUGUACGGAACGAAACGGUCCGGGUUAAUACCCUGGGCUAAUGACGGUACCGUAAGAAUAAGCACCGGCUAACUACGUGCCAGCAGCCGCCGUAAUAC
rnacentral:rRNA from 1 species